UACGUAGGUGGCAAGCGUUGUCCGGAUUUACUGGGCGUAAAGAGCGCGCAGGCGGUCGUUCAAGUCGCGUGUGAAAGCCCCCGGCUCAACUGGGGAGGGUCACGCGAUACUGAUCGACUCGAAGGCAGGAGAGGGUAGUGGAAUUCCCGGUGUAGUGGUGAAAUGCGUAGAUAUCAGGAGGAACACCGAUGGCGAAGGCAGGUCUCUGGGCCACUACUGACGCUGAGAAGCGAAGGCAUGGGGAGCGAACAGG
rnacentral:rRNA from 1 species